AUACAUGCAAGUCGAACGAGAAAGUACCUUCGGGUGCGAGUACAGUGGCGGACGGGUGAGUAACGCGUAGGAAUCUACCUUUAGGUGGGGGACAACUCGGGGAAACUCGAGCUAAUACCGCAUAAUAUCUUUCCAUUUGGAGGGAUCAAAGUGGGGGAUCUUCGGACCUCACGCCGAGAGAGGAGCCUGCGUUGGAUUAGUUUGUUGGUGGGGUAAUGGCCCACCAAGACUACGAUCUAUAGCUGGUCUGAGAGGACGAUCAGCCACACUGGAACUGAGACACGGUCCAGACUCCUACGGGAGGCAGCAGUAGGGAAUCUUGGGCAAUGGGCGAAAGCCUGACCCAGCGAUGCCGCGUGUGCGAAGAAGGCCCUAGGGUUGUAAAGCACUUUCAGUCGCGAAGAAAAGCUUCAGAUUAAUACUCUGGAGUCUUGACGUUAACGACAGAAGAAGUACCGGCUAACUCCGUGCCAGCAGCCGCGGUAAUACGGAGGGUACGAACGUUAAUCGGAAUUACUGGGCGUAAAGCGCGCGUAGGCGGUUUGAUAAGUGGGAUGUGAAAGCCCCGGGCUCAACCUGGGAACUGCAUUCCAAACUGUCAAACUAGAGUAUGGUAGAGGGUGGUAGAAUUUCCUGUGUAGCGGUGAAAUGCGUAGAUAUAGGAAGGAAUACCGAUGGCGAAGGCAGCCACCUGGACCAAUACUGACGCUGAGGUGCGAAAGCGUGGGGAGCAAACAGGAUUAGAUACCCUGGUAGUCCACGCCGUAAACGAUGACAACUAGCCGUUGGGACCCUUGAGGUCUUGGUGGCGAAGCUAACGCGAUAAGUUGUCCGCCUGGGGAGUACGGGCCGCAAGGUUAAAACUCAAAUGAAUUUGACGGGGGCCCG
rnacentral:rRNA from 1 species